ACUGCUCAGUAACACGUGGCUAACCUACCCUUAGGACGGGGACAACCCCGGGAAACUGGGGACUAUCCCUGAUAGGUGAGGAGGCCUGGAAUGGUUCCUCGCUAAAAAGGCGUUGAAACCACGCUUUUCAGUGUCGCCUAAGGAUGGGGCCGCGGCCGAUCAGGUUGUUGGUGAGGUAAUGGCUCACCAAGCCUAUAACCGGUACGGGCCGUGAGAGCGGGAGCCCGGAGAUGGGCACUGAGAUAAGGGCCCAGGCCCUACGGGGCGCAGCAGUCGCGAAAACUCCGCAAUGCGCGAAAGCGUGACGGGGCUACCCCGAGUGCCGUCCGCUGAGGAUGGCUUUUCCCUGGUGUAAUGAGCCUGGGGAAUAAGGAGAGGGCAAGUCUGGUGUCAGCCGCCGCGGUAAUACCAGCUCUCCGAGUGGUAGGGAUGAUUAUUGGGCUUAAAGCGUCCGUAGCCGGCCCAGCAAGUCUUCCGUUAAAUCCAGCGACCCAAUCGUUGGGCUGCGGGAGAUACUGUUGGGCUAGGGGACGGGAGAGGCCGACGGUAUUCUCGGGGUAGGGGUGAAAUCCUAUAAUCCCGGGAAGACCACCAGUGGCGUAGGCUGUCGGCUAGAACGCGCUCGACGGUGAGGGACGAAAGCUGGGGGAGCGAACCGGAUUAGAUACCCGGGUAGUCCCAGCUGUAAACGAUGCGGGCUAGGUGUUGGGGUGGCUACGAGCCACUUCAGUGCCGCAGGGAAGCCAUUAAGCCCGCCGCCUGGGGAGUACGGCCGCAAGGCUGAAACUUAAAGGAAUUGGCGGGGGAGCAC
rnacentral:rRNA from 1 species